rnacentral:lncRNA from 1 species
GGACACGUGGCACAAAUUUACUUAUCAAAAUCAUAUCAUCCGACGUCGAAUUGACUUUCUAAAAUGAUGUCUGACACUGAUAACUGAUACUAAAUUAAUCGAUUAAUGUGACAGAUAACUGUACCUGCCAACAUGACAAAAUAGCCGAUCACCCAUAUCUCAGAGAAAACGGCAUCAAAAUCGAAGCUCGAUGUGACAGAACUCUCUUCGUCCAACG